rnacentral:rRNA from 1 species
AACGAACGCUGGCGGCAGGCCUAACACAUGCAAGUCGAACGCGUCCUUCGGGUCUAGUGGCGCACGGGUGCGUAACGCGUGGGAAUCUGCCCUUGGGUUCGGAAUAACAGCGAGAAAUUGCUGCUAAUACCGGAUGAUGACGUAAGUCCAAAGAUUUAUCGCCCAAGGAUGAGCCCGCGUAGGAUUAGCUAGUUGGUGAGGUAAAGGCUCACCAAGGCGACGAUCCUUAGCUGGUCUGAGAGGAUGAUCAGCCACACUGGGACUGAGACACGGCCCAGACUCCUACGGGAGGCAGCAGUGGGGAAUAUUGGGACAAUGGGCGAAAGCCUGAUCCAGCAAUGCCGCGUGAGUGAUGAAGGCCUUAGGGUUGUAAAGCUCUUUUACCCGGGAUGAUAAUGACAGUACCGGGAGAAUAAGCUCCGGCUAACUCCGUGCCAGCAGCCGCGGUAAU